rnacentral:tRNA from 1 species
UGCAUCGGCCGGGAAUCGAACCCCGGCCGCCCGCGUGGCAGGCGAGCAUUCUACAACUGAACCACCGAUGC